rnacentral:rRNA from 1 species
UACAGAGGGGGCAAGCGUUAUUCGGAAUUAUUGGGCGUAAAGAGCGCGCAGGCGGUCGUUCAAGUCGCGUGUGAAAGCCCCCGGCUCAACUGGGGAGGGUCACGCGAUACUGAUCGACUCGAAGGCAGGAGAGGGUAGUGGAAUUCCCGGUGUAGUGGUGAAAUGCGUAGAGAUCGGGCGGAACACCAGCGGCGAAGGCGGCAUCCUGGCCCUAUCCUGACGCUGAGGCGCGAGAGCGUGGGGAGCAAACCGG